GCCGCCGAGAGGUGGCGUCCCCGACGCCUCAUGGGUCGGGAACGACUGAGACGGGCACCGGUCGUGUCCGGUGCCGCUCGUAUCCAUUUUGCUCCUUGGAGGAUUUGGCUAUGCGCA
rfam:Bradyrhizobium japonicum hspH gene